rnacentral:rRNA from 1 species
UACGGGGGGGGCAAGCGUUGUUCGGAAUUACUGGGCGUAAAGGGCUCGUAGGUGGCCAACUAAGUCAGACGUGAAAUCCCUCGGCUUAACCGGGGAACUGCGUCUGAUACUGGAUGGCUCGAGUCCGGGAGAGGGGGGUGGAAUUCCCAGUGUAGCGGUGAAAUGCGUAGAUAUUGGGAGGAACACCGGUGGCGAAGGCGGCCCCCUGGACCGGUACUGACGCUGAGGCGCGAAAGCGUGGGUAGCAAACGGG